UACGUAGGGUGCGAGCGUUGUCCGGAAUUAUUGGGUGUAAAGAGCUCGUAGGCGGUGUGUCGCGUCGGCCGUGAAAACCUGCAGCUUAACUGUGGGCUUGCGGUCGAUACGGGCAUCACUGGAGUUCGGCAGGGGAGACUGGAAUUCCUGGUGUAGCGGUGAAAUGCGCAGAUAUCAGGAGGAACACCGGUGGCGAAGGCGGGUCUCUGGGCCGAUACUGACGCUGAGGAGCGAAAGCGUGGGGAGCGAACAGG
rnacentral:rRNA from 1 species